rnacentral:rRNA from 1 species
ACGUGAAACUGCUUAGAGGUUAAACCCGAUGAACCUAAAUAUCCAGUAUGAGAAAGUCAUUAUUAUGAGUAUAUUAUUUUAUAAUGUAUUAAUAGUGUGCAUUUUUUUCAUAAAAAGGACAUUGUAAUCUGUUAAUACAAUUUAUAUAUUCUUUUAUAUAUUAUUUUUAUCAUAAAGAGUCAUGUAUAAGUUUACAUAUAAAUUAAUUAAUUUAUUAAUUAAUUGAUGUAAGAUCGAUGAAUUUCUAGAUAAAUAGUUAACAGUAUUAAAAUAUAUAAUGCUUACAUAAUUUUUUAUGUUUUAUAUAUAAUAUGUACAUGUACGAUAUAUAUGUUUUUGCAUUUAUAUUAUAACAAUGCUCAAGGAGAG